ensembl:rRNA 5S_rRNA 5S ribosomal RNA
GCUUACGGCCAUACCACCCUGAGCACGCCCGAUCUUGUCUGAUCUAGGAAGCUAAGCAGGGUCGGGCCUGGUUAGUACUUGGAUGGGAAACCGACUGGGAAUACCAGAUGCUGUAAGCU